AUUGAACGCUGGCGGCAGGCCUAACACAUGCAAGUCGAACGGUAACAGAAAGCAGCUUGCUGCUUUGCUGACGAGUGGCGGACGGGUGAGUAAUGUCUGGGAAACUGCCUGAUGGAGGGGGAUAACUACUGGAAACGGUAUCUAAUACCGCAUAACGUCGCAAGACCAAAGAGGGGGACCUUCGGGCCUCUUGCCAUCGGGUGUGCCCAGAUGGGAUUAGAUAGUAGGUGGGGGAAAGGCUCACCUAGGCGACGAUCCCUAGCUGGUCUGAGCGGAUGACCAGCCACACUGGAACUGAGACACGGUCCAGACUCCUACGGGAGGCAGCAGUGGGGAAUAUUGCACAAUGGGCGCAAGCCUGAUGCAGCCAUGCCGCGUGUAUGAAGAAGGCCUUCGGGUUGUAAAGUACUUUCAGCGGGGAGGAAGGGAGUAAAGUUAAUACCUUUGCUCAUUGACGUUACCCGCAGAAGAAGCACCGGCUAACUCCGUG
rnacentral:rRNA from 1 species